GAUGAACGUUGGCGGCGUGCCUAAUACAUGCAAGUCGAACGAAGACUGUAGUAAUACUGUCUUAGUGGCGAACGGGUGAGUAACGCGUGGGUGACCUGCCCCGAAGUGUGGGAUAACAGUCCGAAAGGAUUGCUAAUACUGCAUAAUAUCCAAGAGAUUAGAUGCUUUUUGGAUUAAAGGAGUAAUUCGCUUCGGGAGGGGCCCGCGUCCCAUCAGCUAGUUGGUGAGGUAGCGGCUCACCAAGGCGACGAUGCGUAGCUGUGCUGAGAGGCAAAACAGCCACACUGGGACUGAGACACGGCCCAGACUCCUACGGGAGGCAGCAGUUAGGGAAUUUUCGGCAAUGGGGGAAACCCUGACCGAGCAAUGCCGCGUGAAUGAAGAAGGUCUUCGGACUGGUAAAAUUCUGUUAUUUGUGGAAGAAAGGUAGUUGGAGGAAAUGCCAAUUACUUGACGGUACCAAAUGAGAAAGCCCCGGCUAACUAUGUGCCAGCAGCCGACGGUAAAACG
rnacentral:rRNA from 1 species